UGACAGCACAGCCCUCUCCAUCGCUCUGGAGGCGGGGCAUAACGACAUUGCGGUGCUGCUCUAUGCACAUGCCAACUUCUCAGGGGCUCGUCUCAGUGGGAAGUCUCUCUCCUCCUCCGCUGGCAGAACUCUCUUUGAAUGAGCGAAGCCCCAAAAACACAAAUGUAUUUCUUCCAGUUGUUAGUCGGUGUGGGCUAAUGUCUGGCCUGCAAUGUAAACACUGUGAAGUAACUCUGCAGGUAAUAUCCAUACGCAUGGCAGAAUGUUUCAAUACCAUUCAAAGUUCCCUUUAAAACGUUUUAAUUGUUUUUAUUAUUAUUAUUAUAUUUAAGUGUAAUAUUUUAUCACUGUAAAAUUGCAACUUGAAAAAAAAAGUGUAAAUUAAAUAAAAAAAGUAAUUUCAAUUAUUCUAUAAAAAAAGGUGUUAAAAGUAUGAACUUUAUAUAUUUGUAUUUUUUAUUGAAAUAUAAAAAUAUGAAUGUAUUGGUAUUUUUAACUAGAAUAAUAGAAUAAUAGAACACUAGAAUAAUUCUGACGUAUCAUAUUCAUUAUGAUUUAAUAUUUUAAACAUAAUUUGAACAGUAAAACUUCAGAGACCAGAAACGUUCACAAGAUUCAUGUUGACGACACAUAUUUAAAUAUUGAGGGAAAUACAAUACACAUUGAGGAAUAUUGAUGCCAUUGAGGUCAGCCAAUCGGCUGCUGGCAUUAAGCUCCUCCCACAAUGUCAAACGUCUCCUUUUCAAGAAGAAUAGUUGUGACACGGAUGUGAAUAAAGCCUCUAAAUAAAAUGUA